GAGGGCAUAGCUCAGUGGUAGAGUGCGUGCUUAGCAUGCUUGAGGUCCUGGGUUCAAUCCCCAGUAUUUCCA
rnacentral:tRNA from 1 species